rnacentral:hammerhead_ribozyme from 1 species
AUCCAACUGACUAGUCCCAAAUAGGACAAAACGCGUGUCAACCUGGGU